rnacentral:tRNA from 1 species
GGGCCCGUAGCUCAGUCUGGUUCGAGCGUUCGACUGAUAAUCGAAAGGUCCGCAGUUCAAAUCUGCGCGGGCCCA